AUGAAGCAGAAGUUGCAUCACAUGCUCCACAUCCUAUCAGCGGACUUCCAAAGACUACAAGGAUGCGGAUUUGUUGAUGAUGGCUACAGAUGUUUCCAACGCCCCCCCCCCCAACGAAAGAAAGAUCGGGCGAACCACGGAACAAGGGUGCCCUCGCAUGAAAAAAACCGACGGGAACCACGUCCCGGCCGCCGUCGCCAAUCCAUCCCGGCCCACCUGCCUCCUUCCCGAUCCCAACCUCAUGAACCCUACCACGCCUCCAACCCCGCUGCCACCUCCUUCGACCAACCACUCCGUUCCAUGGAUCCACUUUGCGACAGCCAGUUCUCGCGGCAGUCGCCGCCCGCUCUUCUCCUCCUGGUCCACCUCCCCCACCAAGCUCUCUCUCCUAGAUCAAAUGUUGAAUUAGUAACUACAUGGACAACAAUGAACAAUUUAUUUAAACUCCACAUGUGGAUCAUUUACUUCAAGCUCACAUAUUACCAACCAGAUCGAUAUGCCACUUCUCAAGCUCGUAGCCCUAGAAAAAUCACAAUGACGCAGUGCAGCAAUGAUUAUCUAGCCCUCCAAGCUGGAUGCAACAAGCAUUGGAAUCUGUUUCGGAGCGGUGCCACUGACGUGUGCUUUAAUUAUCAGCUUCCUUCUUGGAAGUGUUGCAUUGAGGCUCCGAUGCUCCGGUGGGAACAACACACGCUCCUCGCUGCAUCUUAUCUCCUAUUUGUGAGGGCUAUCGUGGUCCAAUUAGCUUUCUUUGCACAUAUGCAGGCACUCAGCACAUGUUUGAUGAUUCAUUUUGAAGUGACCUGUUCUGAGAAGGCCCUUGGCAGCAACAAAAUGACUGGUGUAUCAGCUUUGCAGUGGAUCAUGUUUUUCGUCGUGGGUCGAACUGAGGCCAAGACUGAUGAGUUGAAGGCGAGAACAAACUACUACUCUACCCAACAACUCAUACAGAGAUAUGGUCUUCACCCUGCUCAAGCUCAUCCACAUCGCUGUCACUAUAGCUGCUUCUGCGAGUCUCUUGUCAUCUUCUUCGCCGCCGGCUUGGUAAAUCUCUCAGUUUACUUCUCCUCCUCCUCUCUUGAGCUCUAUAGAAAGUGGGCUAGGUGGAGAGGCCGAGAGCAACUGUAG
rnacentral:rRNA from 1 species